rnacentral:rRNA from 2 species
UCUGAUGGUUAGCGGCGGACGGGUGAGUAACACGUAGGCAACCUGCCCUCAAGCUUGGGACAACUACCGGAAACGGUAGCUAAUACCGAAUACUUGCUUCCUUCGCCUGAAGGGAGCUGGAAAGACGGAGCAAUCUGUCACUUGAGGAUGGGCCUGCGGCGCAUUAGCUAGUUGGUGAGGUAACGGCUCACCAAGGCGACGAUGCGUAGCCGACCUGAGAGGGUGAUCGGCCACACUGGGACUGAGACACGGCCCAGACUCCUACGGGAGGCAGCAGUAGGGAAUCUUCCGCAAUGGGCGAAAGCCUGACGGAGCAAUGCCGCGUGAGUGAUGAAGGUUUUCGGAUCGUAAAGCUCUGUUGCCAGGGAAGAACGUCCUUGAGAGUAACUGCUUAAGGAGUGACGGUACCUGAGAAGAAAGCCCCGGCUAACUACGUGCCAGCAGCCGCGGUAAUACGUAGGGGGCAAGCGUUGUCCGGAAUUAUUGGGCGUAAAGCGCGCGCAGGCGGUCAUUUAAGUCUGGUGUUUAAUCCCGGGGCUCAACCCCGGAUCGCACUGGAAACUGGAUGACUUGAGUGCAGAAGAGGAGAGUGGAAUUCCACGUGUAGCGGUGAAAUGCGUAGAGAUGUGGAGGAACACCAGUGGCGAAGGCGACUCUCUGGGCUGUAACUGACGCUGAGG